AAGGAAUUGGUUUAAGGAAGCACAGCAAGCUCUCUCUUCUUGUGCCCUCGCCCGGAGUAAGGGAGAAGGAGAAAGAGAGGCGCCACAUGCUGGAAAAGUUCAAAGGAUGAAAUGCAGAACAUAGGACGAGCAUACUUAAGGAGACCACGCAGCCUGGCGAAGAUGCUUCAGAAAGACUACAGACCUUUAACAAGCGAGGAUCUAGAUGCUCCUACAAACUGUAUCACAAUCUUCAUCAACAGUCAACAUGCAGAGUGACUACUUCAAAACGGCGGUUGGGAAAAGGGGUUAAACAAGUUUCUCCAGCAAGAUUUGACACUACGAUCAAAAUUUUACAAGUGGCUAAUGGGUCUUGUAUUUCCUAAAAGCUUUUUCUGUGUCUAGGAGUAAAAUAAAAUACAUAUUUGAA